GGAUGGGAUCAUACCAGCACUAAUACACCGGAUCUCAUCAGAACUCCGCAGCUAAGCUUUCUUGGGCGAGAGUAGUACUAGGAUGGAUGACCUCCCGCGAAGUCCUCGUGUUGCAUCCC
rnacentral:rRNA from 1 species